ensembl:rRNA 5S_rRNA 5S ribosomal RNA
CUCUACAGCUAUACCAUCCUGAACACUCCUGAUCUUGUCUGAUCUCAGAAGCUAAGCAGGGUUGGGCCUGGCUAGUACUUGGAUAGGAGAUAAUGCAAUCAGUAGAGU